ensembl:lncRNA
UUCUGCGCAUGAAUCUCGUCAUGGGUGUGGGUGUGGCUUUGCAAAUUCUCCUGGAUACACCUGCACUUUUGAAUGCCCUGAGUCUCCAAAGAAAUUCUCUCCCUGAUCUUUUCUCCCACUGCGUGGGUCAUCUGUCGGGUCUCAGUCUUGCUACAGGUUGUUUCCCGCCAUCCAAUGCGCCAAAUGUUUCUCUUGGUAGAUGGAGCUCAGAGCUGCCUGCCGGACCAUUUUGAUGGCACUGCCUGAAGUGACCCUUCCAAAGCCCGCUUCUCACCUUGGGAUCUAUUUUCCCACUGAUAUUAAUAUGGCUAAGCCAGCAUAUGUUGGUUAAUAUCAUUGUGGUAUAACUUUUCCCAUUCCUUUUCUACCUUUUUGCACUUGUGUUUUAAUGAUUCUUAUAAAAAGUAUACAAGUGACUUUACAUGUCUCAGCCUAACAAUUUCUGUCUUCACUGAAGCAUUUAAUUCUUUUACAUACAAUGUGAUGCUUUUAUGUCUGAUUUUGACUUUAUACUCCUUAUGGAGCUUUCUAAUUGUCUCUCAUCUUUGCGUUUGUUUCUGCCCUUUUGUGUUAUAUUUUAUCAUUCUAUUCUUUUUUCUAUACUAAUUUUAAAGUAACAAUCUAUUUAUGUAAUUUCAGCUGUUACCCUAGAAAUUAAAAGAUACAAGCUCAGUACAUUACAGGCAACAGAAGACCUAUAGCAUUUAUCCUAGCACCAGUUAAUUUAUCAAAUUCAUUUUCUUUAUCUACUGCAAAUUAUUUUUACAAGUCAAAGAUUAUUUACUUAGAGUUAAUUAUUUCCAACUCACACAGUACACAUCCAUGUUGGGAGCUGUCAAAGUUCAAAAAUAUCCAAAGUCCAGAGGAAAAUAUUUUAAAUGGAAGAAAAAUCUUGGUCACCUUCCAGACUUUUUGCCAAGAAAAGGAUCAAAUUAACACAGCUAUCAACGUUCUAGCGCUGCUGUAACAAAACGCCAAGGACAAGGUGACUGCCUGCUGCCCGAGUCCAGAGGAGGGCGGCGUCCACAGCCUCUCUGCCUCAUGGACCUUCGGUGUGCCUGUGUCCUGCCCUUUUCAAAACAGCAGUCAGCUGAAUUCGACCUAACCCGAGAAGGCCUGGUCCUAGCUGAAUCGCCUGUUUACUAUCUGUGGUGGUUAAGGUCAUUCUAAGUGGGAACGCCCAGCUGAGCCGAGUCACCCACCUGGGUGAGGACUGUUGCCAAGGGCAUACAGGAGAAUGGGCGGGAAGGUGCUGCCAUUGAUCUUCCUGGAGAAGCUGGCUGUGGCUGGUUUUCCUGAAACUAAGUCAGCUGUUCUCGAAGGAGGAGGAGGAGGAGCCGGGUCCUUGCGCUGUCGCUGGGAUGGCUGCUGUUCUCUUCCAGGAGUGCUGGUCUUCACCGUGCGCACACGAGCCUCAGCCUGUGUACUGACCCCUCGCCCCGCAGGUGCAGACUUUCCAGCUUCACCACGGGCACCCGGCAUUCCCAGUCGACUCUCUGUAUGGACUUGCCUGUGACGUUGCCCUGGGCCCCACGCCUCUGAGUGGUCUCAGGUAGGGCACUGCGGUAGGAUCCAGGCCUCUAGGUCUCUAGCAGGUGGACAUCUCUUGCGCUCCUCUGCAUUUGACUUUUUGAGUGACCAUUGUAAAAUAAUCUUGUAAACGAUGUGUCCUGUACUAACUCCAUUCCCUUGCAAACUCUGACAGCAACAGCACCUGUCUCCAAACACAGCCACAUUCAGCGUUGGUGCCAGGUAAUGUGGCAGAGCAAACCUGCGGCAUCACCUGGAGGGAGCAAAGAGAGAGGAGGACUGGGGAUCUGGAUCUCCUCACCCGCUCUUAGCCAAAAGGCUGGGCCUCCACCAAGCCACGUCCUCGAAGAGCUGCAGGCCUCCUGCCAGGCCCCUCCUUUGGGUCCACAGCACCUCCCAUAGCAGCGCCCUGGCACCUGCAGAGACCACAGGACUCCGAGGGUAGCAAAUGUCUAUGCAAACCUGCAGCUGGCAUCAGCCUCAAUGGUGAAAGGCUAAAUGCUUUCCUUAAAAUAGGGAACAAGGGGCGAAUCUGCUCACACCACCGCUAUUUAAUGUAGUAUAAGUAGGGGCCAACAGCGUAGGCAAAGAAAGCAAAAAACGCCCAGAGCAGAAAUGACUGUUCCUAUUUGCAGACGACAUAAUAACUGAAGAAAUGUCUCACAAGAAAUUUAUAAAAAACAAAAAACCAAAACACUCCUAAAAAUAAAUUCAUCCUUCACAAAAUAGAAAUACAAUUGAUUUUUGUAUAUUAUCUUCUAUCCGCUAUGAAAGAACACAAACACUGAAAUUUAAUAUGUCAUCUGCCAUUAUUUAACAAAAAUUGAACACUUAUGUGUAAAUCUAACAAAACAUGCACUAGAUUUGCUUGCCGAAAAGGACACAACACCAAUGAAGUGAAUGAGAAAAGAUCUGAGUAAAUGGAGAGGACACGGGCUUGUGACUGGGUAGAUGCAACCUAAUAAAGAUCUGACUCUCUCCAAAUGGCAAGAUCGGUGCAAUUUCUAUUAAAAUCCUAGCAAGGAUUCUGUAGGUAUUAGUUAUUCAAAACUUAUAUGAGAAAGCAAAAGAAUCACUAAGAUGAAUUUGAAAAAGAAGAAUGAAGCCAGAGUAAUCGGUCUGCCCAAUUCCAAGACUUUUUUUUUUUAACCAAGGUAAGGGAGCAACUCAGCUGUGGAGAGAGAGCCUUUCCCACACACGGCCACCCACAGGCCAACAAGCGACUCUCAAGCUUCACAUCUUAUUCAAACAUUAUUUCAAAGGAGGACGCAGACUUAAGUAUAAAAUAACAUCACCACCACCCCCGUGUUCAGAAAAGAGGAGAAAAUCUGUGGUUUGUGGAAUGAGGCAAGAAGUUCUUAGACUGGACAUGAAAAGCAUGAUCCAUAAAAGGAAAAAUUGGUAAGUUGGACUGAAUCAAAACUUACAACUUUUGUUCUGCAAAAGACCAUGGCAGGAGGACUAACUAUAGUUAUAAUAAUUUGUUAUGGAAUACACAAUAUAAAUAGACAGAAAACACAAAAUCAGUGCAUAAAAUGUGGGGUGGGGAAGAAGUAAAAAUGUAGUCUUUGUAUGCAUUCAAAGUCAAGCUGUUGCUAGCUUAAAUUAGAAUAUUAUAACUAUACAUGUUUUAUGUAAGCCUCAUGAUAACCGCAAAGAAAAAAUCCUCUAGUAGGUACACAAAAAAUAAAGAGAAUGAAAUCAAAUCAUACCAGCACAAAAAUGGAACAAAUCAUAAAGGAAGACAGCAAGACCGGUAGAAAGGAAAAAGAAACCACAAAACAGUUGGCAAUAGUAAGUCAUGACCUGUCAAUAAUUCCUUUAAAUAUAGAUAACAUCUCUCAUCAAAAGAUAGAGUGGCCAAAUGGAUUUUUUAAAAUCCAAGAAUAUGCUGCCAAUAAGAGACUCAGUUUGCCUUAAGGAUACACAUGGGCCAAAGGGAAGGAAUGGGAAAAGCUAUUCCAGGCACAUGGAACCUAAAACCAGUCAAGGAUGGUUGUAUUUAUAUCAGACAAAACCAAUUUUAAGUUAAAAAAAAUUGUAAAAGGAGACAAGGAAGGCCACCAUAUAUUGAUAAGGGGGUCAAUUCAUCAAGAGCACAUAACAACCCUAAAUAUUUAUGUGCCAUGUUCGGAAAUUUAAAAGAAUUCUAAAAUAAUAAGGGACUCGGACUCUCUAAUAGCAAGAACACAAGCAAAACUCCCAAGAACUCUGAUUUUAAAAUGAGUGAAGGACCUGAAAAGACAUUCCUUAGGAGACAUACAAGUGGCCAGAGGAGGUAUGAAAAAAGUGCUCAGCAGGGUAACCACAGGGAAGCGCAGCCCAGACCCACGGGGAGACACGGUCCCUUGUCACCGCGGUCGUCGCUGAAUGGCUGUUCUGUAAUGACGGCAAAUCACUGCCAGCGGGUGUGGAGAGAGGAGCAUCCCUCACUGCCAGGGGGAGCAAGCCCAUGCGGCUGUGCAGAGGACCAAGGGAAGACCCCUGCAAACAUCAACCAUGGAGCCAGCAUGCAGCCGGCACCGCUGAGCACGCACGUGAAGGAAUGGAGGUGUCCGUCCACUGCAGCCCUGCUCGUGCUGCUAAGCGAGGAAGCCAUCUGUGCAGAUGUGUGGAUAAAGGAAAUGCGCUGCAUGGACACAACACAGUACUGUUCACUCUUUACAAUGAAAAGGAAAUCCAGUCAUCCGCAACAUGGACAGCCUGGAGGACACCGUGCUGAGUGACACAAGCCAGACGAGACAAGAAAAGCAGGUACUGCAUGUGGCACUCACGCCCAGACUCUGCCCUGUCCUCCUCACCAAGCACAGAGCAGGACACAGAGGCACGGGCCCACCGUGACAGCUUAGAGCUCUCUCUCAGACACGACGGUCGGAGAUCCGCAGCACGGCAAGGAGUGGAUUUCACAACUCCUGAAAGAGUCCAUGUGCAACAUCCUCCCCAGCACGCAGAGUGUGAGGAGACUGUGACCCUAGUUCGAUUUGAUCAUUCCACAGCGUAAACACACAUCGAAGGGUCACGCUGCACUCACACACGCAU